AGAACGAACGCUGGCGGCAUGCCUAAUACAUGCAAGUCGAACGAACUCUUCGGAGUUAGUGGCGCACGGGUGCGUAACGCGUGGGAAUCUGCCCCUUGGUUCGGAAUAACAGUUGGAAACGACUGCUAAUACCGGAUGAUGACGAAAGUCCAAAGAUUUAUCGCCAAGGGAUUAGACCGCCCGUAGGUAGUA
rnacentral:rRNA from 1 species